ensembl:lncRNA
ACAUAUCGUCGCUGUCCGAUGAAAACCGCGUAUGUCCAUUUUUGCCGAUUUUGAGAUUUUACGAUGAUAGUUAUGUCCAGGUUCAUUUCCGUAUACAGUAUGCGUCAUGAACCUAAUUGACCAAUGAAAAGUUGUGAAACACGUCAUCUGAUUUUCAAGUAUAUCCAUUUGGUGUCAAAGCUGUCAGUCCCGCCGCGUAUCUCCCGCCCUGUGGAGUCAUCUCAUUAGCGUCUCUGGAAGCGCAUCAUCGGGUAGCCGAAUAACACUUUGAAGAUUCUCUGGAAAGUGAUAAUGACAAUCACUCUGAAAGUGCCAGUGAUGACUCACUUGAACACGAUCCUGAAAAUGACCCGGAAUACACACCUGUCAAUGAAGAUGCUGUUGAUGUUGAUGUUGCUGUUGACCGGGGAAGGUCAAGAAAGAGGGCCAACCCAGACGCUUGGAAGGGUAACAUUCAGAAAAGGAGAAGAAUGAGGGGCCAAUCAUAUCUUGGACGAAAAAAAAAUGAAUUCAUCAACAUAGAAGAAAGAAAAAUGGAGGGGCGGUGCCUGGCUGAGGCCUGCCGGAAAUCCAGCAAACUACACUGCACCGAAAUCGAUGAAGGGAAGAGGGAAAAAAUAUUCAAGUAUUUUUGGGGGAAAUUGGACUGGAAAGAAAGGAAAAUCUAUGUGAAGUCACUGGUGGAGGUGAGUGAUGUCAAGCGGCGCCGGACAGAAGCGGUUCAGUCUCGGAGGUCAGCAUCUCUCUGUUGUUUUUUAUGUGUUGAUGGUAAAAGGCUCAGAGUUUGUCAGCGGAUGUUCCUGUCGACCCUUGGCAUCAAGCAGUGGAGUGUUCUAAAAUGGGUUGGAAGAAGAGAUGAAAGUCCUGAGAAGACGGCAAGAGUGAGGGUGAGGACAGAGGAGCGGGACUUCCUAAAGUCCUUUCUUCUUGAACUGCCGAAAGUACCAUCGCACUACUGUAGGUCCUCCUCUUCCAAGAUGUACCUGGAGCCUUUAUUCAAAUCAAUCAAUCAUCUCCACUCACAAUAUAAGCAGGCAUGUGCAGCCAACGGCAUCCAGGCUCUGUCAAGACAAGUGUUCAGUAACACCUUUAAAGAAUUAAAUCUGUCAUUGUUCCAUCCAAAAAAAGAUCAGUGUGACACUUGCUGUGCCUUCAAAGCCGGGAACAUCGAGGCUGCUGUGUGGGAGGAACACUGCGUUAAGAAGGACGAGGCACGAGCAGAAAAGGAUAGGGACAAGCAACUUGCAAAUAACACCACCUUGGUUGCAUGCAUGGAUCUGCAGGGCCUUCUCCUCUGCCCAAAGCUUCAAGCGUCUGCCCUCUAUUUCAAAAUGAAGCUGAGUGUCCAUAAUUUUACCAUCUACAAUAUGGCAUCACAUGAAGCGACAAAUUACCUUUGGCAUGAGGGUGAGGGGGGGGUCUCUGCCAAUGAGUUUGCCUCCUGCAUUGUGGACUAUCUUGAAACACACCUCACUUACACUGAAUUCAUUCUUUGGAGUGAUGGGUGUGGUUAUCAAAACCGAAACCUGGUCCUGAGCAAUGCCCUCUUAAAGUUUGCCACUGAAAGAAAAAAAAAAGCAAGUGACGCAGAAGUACCUUCAAAGAGGCCACACACAGAUGGAAUGUGACUCUGUGCACAGUGUGAUCGAAAGAAAGCUAAGGAACCGAGAUGUACAUGUUCCAGCUGAGUAUGCUGCAGU